rnacentral:rRNA from 1 species
UACGAAGGGGGCUAGCGUUGCUCGGAAUCACUGGGCGUAAAGCGCACGUAGGCGGAUCUUUAAGUCAGGGGUGAAAUCCUGGAGCUCAACUCCAGAACUGCCUUUGAUACUGGGGCUCUCGAGUCCGGGAGAGGUGAGUGGAACUGCGAGUGUAGAGGUGAAAUUCGUAGAUAUUCGCAAGAACACCAGUGGCGAAGGCGGCUCACUGGCCCGGUACUGACGCUGAGGUGCGAAAGCGUGGGGAGCAAACAGG